GCCAUCGUAGCCCAAUGGUAGGGCGUCGCUUUCCUAAGAUGAACAGGCGAAGGUUGCGGGUUCGAGUCCCGUCGGUGGUA